rnacentral:lncRNA from 1 species
GUUAUGUUCAAUAAAUAUUGUCUAUAAGACAAAAGAAAUAUAUCAGUCAUCAACAUAGUUAAUUGGUCUUGCAAUUAGUCGAUUAAAAUAUAUGUUGAAAUCACUUUCAUUAAUGCAUGUCUCAUAAUGAACAAUAAUAAUCAAUUAUAUUUAUCUUUACAAACCCCGACAUGAAUGGGUCGACGUUUGAUGUGGCUGUAAAUUGCUUUAUCAUGCAGUAAAGAGGAACAUUUCCUUCUCACUAUACUGUCAAGAGGAUCUCAAACAUCAUCCAACUACAUGUUAAUAAAUCUGCAUCUGUGACCCGAAAAACAUAAUAACUAGGUAGUGUAUUUACAUAUUGUUAACUUUGUUAACUGCUAAAACUAAUUAAUGAUGUACUUAGGUGAUCUUAGUAGUAAUUAAGUAAAUCAAUAAUUCAAAAUGGAUACUGUACCUUAAGUAUUAGUUUAGGACCAGAAUAAGCUAACAAUAUCGAUAGGUCAUGGACCCCUGAAAAGACGGACUCGGACUUUUUUCUUAUAUUUGCAUUGGUAUUAUUUGGGUCUCAAAUCAAUAGAAAAAAAUCAAGAAUCUGCUAAAAUUCUGUCAAAUGACCUGUUAUGCCCUAUUAAGUCUUAUAUUAAAAGAUGAAUAAGUGUGAUGAGGCAAAAUAUAUUACCUUGUGUCGUAUGGGAAAACACAAGGAGUACGAAUGUCUGACAAAAAUUCCAAAACCUCACCUAAGUACAUCCUGUGUCACUAUAUGAUCAUGCAAUCAAUGAAUUUGACAUAAGAUGAAAACUUGAAUACAAGUUGUAUGUUUCUUUCUUUAAACAUGGACUCGUACGUUAGACAGUUAUCUUUGCAUAUUAGGUAUCAUUAACGUGCUUAUAAGGGGGAAACAUUGAUACACGUAUCGACAACUGGCGAUAUUCAAUCCAUUACACAUACAUGUAAAUUUUAACAGCAUAUAAAAUAUAAUCAAGGCUUCAAAUUAAUUAUGUCAACUUUUUUUUGUUUCAUUUGUUUCAGUUAUCAAUACACUGUC